rnacentral:rRNA from 1 species
UACGUAGGGUGCAAGCGUUGUCCGGAAUUAUUGGGCGUAAAGAGCUCGUAGGCGGCUUGUCACGUCGAUUGUGAAAGCCCGAGGCUCAACCUUCAGAGGUCGACCGAAACCAUCUGGCUAGAGUCCGGGAGAGGAGAGUGGAAUUCCUGGUGUAGCGGUGAAAUGCGCAGAUAUCAGGAAGAACGCCCGUGGCGAAAGCGGCUCUCUGGAACGGUACUGACGCUGAGACGCGAAAGCGUGGGGAGCGAACAGG